rnacentral:siRNA from 1 species
CUCGGUCGGCCAAUAGCCAACUGG